rnacentral:rRNA from 1 species
CCUACGGGAGGCAGCAGUGGGGAAUUUUGGACAAUGGGCGCAAGCCUGAUCCAGCAAUGCCGCGUGAGUGAAGAAGGCCUUCGGGUUGUAAAGCUCUUUUGUCAGGGAAGAAACGGUGGGGGCUAAUAUCCCCUGCUAAUGACGGUACCUGAAGAAUAAGCACCGGCUAACUACGUGCCAGCAGCCGCGGUAAUACGUAGGGUGCAAGCGUUAAUCGGAAUUACUGGGCGUAAAGCGUGCGCAGGCGGUUUUGUAAGUUUGUCGUGAAAUCCCCGGGCUCAACCUGGGAAUGGCGAUGAAGACUGCAAGGCUAGAAUCUGGCAGAGGGGGGUAGAAUUCCACGUGUAGCAGUGAAAUGCGUAGAGAUGUGGAGGAACACCGAUGGCGAAGGCAGCCCCCUGGGUCAAGAUUGACGCUCAUGCACGAAAGCGUGGGGAGCAAACAGGAUUAGAUACCCUGGUAGUCCACGCCCUAAACGAUGUCUACUAGUUGUCGGGUUUUAAUUAACUUGGUAACGCAGCUAACGCGUGAAGUAGACCGCCUGGGGAGUACGGUCGCAAGNUUAAAACUUAAAUGAAUUGACGG